UGGCUAGUGGUAUCAUCCUCACGGUUGCCGCCGCUACCGGAAGCUCUGGGAAGACAGGAUCAUGGCCUCCACUAAGCACAUGGUGCCAUGCAUCUACCUAGGAAGCCAGGCGCUGGUCCCCCCUCUUCCUCUCCAGCGACUGAUGUGAAGAAUGUUGCUGUAAAGGUUCUCUUGCAUCUUACACUCAAGCUGGACCAUCCCAGGGAUUGCGGAAGCGUGUAGGAUAAAUUGAGUGUUUAGGCAAAGGUUUUGCACAGGUAUGAAAUGGACCCCUCGCAGAAAACGGAGACCAAAUGAGUGUAGAUGGCGACGUGGGCAUUGGAGGUAUCCGGAAUUCAGGUUCAAGAUGAUCUUAUCCAUCUUGGAGAUGCAAUGGCAACCGUUGAUUGCUGACGGGAGCCAGCAG